AUCAAGUUAGCAAAUUAGGUACAUCUCCAAACAGUCCUCAGGCGGGAUGUUCUGCUGAUGUUCCGCAAAAGGGCAUUGUUACUAUCCUCGAUGUAGAGAAUACAUCUUCCCAAAACGCAGAUGGUUCUCAUCAUCCCGAAUCCAUAGUUGCUCAUUUUGUGGCGCACUCUGAAGCUAUAGUAUGGCUGCAAUUCGGACCGUGUGGACUGCUUUUACUUACUGCCGAUAAAAGAGGGCAUGAUUUUAACUUAUUUAAAAUUUACCCUCAUCCAAUUGGGUCUGCUUUGACGGCAGUCCAUCAUUUGUACACUUUACAUAGAGGUGACACUUCGGCUAGAGUGCAAGAUAUGUCUUUCUCUUUUGACUCGAGAUGGGUCACAGUUUCGACUCUAAGAGGAACUACCCAUGUAUUUCCGAUUACUUCUUAUGGUGGUAAUAUCGGAGUUAGAACUCAUACUACACCACAUGUCGUUAAUAGGAUGUCUAGGUUUCACAGGUCGGCUGGGUUAACCUCAGAGGGUCGUUCUAACAGUCCGGUUUCCAUGUUUGAUUCUCCAGUAAGCUCUAGUUACCCUUAUUCAAACCCACGGUUUGCACCCUACCCUCACCCUACCGUGGUCAAUCCACUCGCCCAAUUAAGGCAACCUGUGUAUAUGCAGAACGUAGGCGCCUCCAUUCCUAGACAGGGUAAGCCAUCUUCUUUAACCACUCUAAAAUUUU
rnacentral:lncRNA from 1 species